rnacentral:rRNA from 1 species
AUGGAAGGCGGCGGCCGCAAGAGGGGCACGCACGACGGCGCCUCCGUCGGAGGCAAGCGCACGCGAGAAUCGGAGUCAUUUCAAACCGGUGUAGGAAGCAAAUCGAAGCCAUGCACCAAAUUUUUCAGUACCGCUGGUUGCCCCUUUGGUGAGGGUUGCCACUUCCUCCAUUACUUCCCCGGUGGCCACCAGGCUGUUGCAAAGAUGAGCAACCUGGGUGGCCAAGCAUUUGCACAUCCCCAAGGAAGAGUGCCCGCAGGAUCUGCUGUUCCAGAUGGCCACCCUACACCAACUGUCAAGACUAAAUUGUGCAACAAGUAUAACACUGCAGAGGGAUGCAAAUGGGGCGACAAGUGCCACUUUGCACAUGGUGAGAGGGAGCUCGGCAAGCAGACGUUCAUCAACAACUCUAUGCCACCCCAUAUGGGACCAAGGCCCACUGGUCACUUUGGACCUCCGGCAAUGCCCAGCCCUGGCAUGGCCACCCCAGCAGGCUUCGGGGCUUCUUCCACAGCCAAGGUCAGCGUCGAUGCAUCCCUCGCAGGCGCCAUCAUUGGGCGGGGUGGAGUCAACACAAAGCAGAUAUCUCGAGUCACCGGGGCCAAGCUGGCCAUCCGGGACCACGAAUCAAACGAAGCCUUGAAAAACAUUGAGCUCGAGGGCACGUUUGAUCAGAUCAACAACGCCAGCGCCAUGCUCAGGGAGUUGAUCUUCAGGAUCAGCGGCGGCGCCAACGCCCCUCCGCCGGGCGUGAUCUCGGCUGGAGGGUCUCACCGCGGAAGCAAUUUCAAGACCAAGCUGUGUGACAACUUCACGAAAGGAUCGUGCACGUUUGGCGACAGAUGCCACUUUGCCCAUGGCGAGAACGAGCUGCGCAAGUCGGCUGCUGCAUGA